AGAGUUUGAUCAUGGCUCAGAUUGAACGCUGGCGGCAGGCCUAACACAUGCAAGUCGAGCGGAUGAAGGGAGCUUGCUCCCUGAUUCAGCGGCGGACGGGUGAGUAAUGCCUAGGAAUCUGCCUGGUAGUGGGGGACAACGUCUCGAAAGGGACGCUAAUACCGCAUACGUCCUACGGGAGAAAGCAGGGGACCUUCGGGCCUUGCGCUAUCAGAUGAGCCUAGGUCGGAUUAGCUAGUUGGUGAGGUAAUGGCUCACCAAGGCUGCGAUCCGUAACUGGUCUGAGAGGAUGAUCAGUCACACUGGAACUGAGACACGGUCCAGACUCCUACGGGAGGCAGCAGUGGGGAAUAUUGGACAAUGGGCGAAAGCCUGAUCCAGCCAUGCCGCGUGUGUGAAGAAGGUCUUCGGAUUGUAAAG
rnacentral:rRNA from 1 species